GGUUAAGCGACUAAGCGUACACGGUGGAUGCCCUGGCAGUCAGAGGCGAUGAAGGACGUGCUAAUCUGCGAAAAGCGUCGGUAAGGUGAUAUGAACCGUUAUAACCGGCGAUGUCCGAAUGGGGAAACCCAGUGCAAUUCGUUGCACUAUCGUUAACUGAAUACAUAGGUUAACGAGGCGAACCGGGGGAACUGAAACAUCUAAGUACCCCGAGGAAAAGAAAUCAACCGAGAUUCCCCCAGUAGCGGCGAGCGAACGGGGAGCAGCCCAGAGUCUGAAUCAGCUUGUGUGUUAGUGGAACGGUCUGGAAAGUCCGACGGUACAGGGUGAUAGUCCCGUACACCAAAAUGCACAGGUUGUGAACUCGAAGAGUAGGGCGGGACACGUGGUAUCCUGUCUGAAUAUGGGGGGACCAUCCUCCAAGGCUAAAUACUCCUGACUGACCGAUAGUGAACCAGUACCGUGAGGGAAAGGCGAAAAGAACCCCGGCGAGGGGAGUGAAAAAGAACCUGAAACCGUGUACGUACAAGCAGUGGGAGCACCUUCGGGUGUGACUGCGUACCUUUUGUAUAAUGGGUCAGCGACUUAUAUUCUGUAGCAAGGUUAACCGUAUAGGGGAGCCGCAGGGAAACCGAGUCUUAACUGGGCGUUAAGUUGCAGGGUAUAGACCCGAAACCCGGUGAUCUAGCCAUGGGCAGGUUGAAGGUUGGGUAACACUAACUGGAGGACCGAACCGACUAAUGUUGAAAAAUUAGCGGAUGACUUGUGGCUGGGGGUGAAAGGCCAAUCAAACCGGGAGAUAGCUGGUUCUCCCCGAAAGCUAUUUAGGUAGCGCCUCGUGAACUCAUCUUCGGGGGUAGAGCACUGUUUCGGCUAGGGGGUCAUCCCGACUUACCAACCCGAUGCAAACUACGAAUACCGAAGAAUGUUAUCACGGGAGACACACGGCGGGUGCUAACGUCCGUCGUGAAGAGGGAAACAACCCAGACCGCCAGCUAAGGUCCCAAAGUCAUGGUUAAGUGGGAAACGAUGUGGGAAGGCACAGACAGCCAGGAUGUUGGCUUAGAAGCAGCCAUCAUUUAAAGAAAGCGUAAUAGCUCACUGGUCGAGUCGGCCUGCGCGGAAGAUGUAACGGGGCUAAACCAUGCACCGAAGCUGCGGCAGCGACACUAUGUGUUGUUGGGUAGGGGAGCGUUCUGUAAGCCUGCGAAGGUGUGCUGUGAGGCAUGCUGGAGGUAUCAGAAGUGCGAAUGCUGACAUAAGUAACGAUAAAGCGGGUGAAAAGCCCGCUCGCCGGAAGACCAAGGGUUCCUGUCCAACGUUAAUCGGGGCAGGGUGAGUCGACCCCUAAGGCGAGGCCGAAAGGCGUAGUCGAUGGGAAACAGGUUAAUAUUCCUGUACUUGGUGUUACUGCGAAGGGGGGACGGAGAAGGCUAUGUUAGCCGGGCGACGGUUGUCCCGGUUUAAGCAUGUAGGCUGGUUAUCCAGGCAAAUCCGGAUAAUCAAGGCUGAGGUGUGAUGACGAGGCACUACGGUGCUGAAGUAACAAAUGCCCUGCUUCCAGGAAAAGCCUCUAAGCAUCAGGUAACAUCAAAUCGUACCCCAAACCGACACAGGUGGUCAGGUAGAGAAUACCAAGGCGCUUGAGAGAACUCGGGUGAAGGAACUAGGCAAAAUGGUGCCGUAACUUCGGGAGAAGGCACGCUGGUGUGUAGGUGAAGUCCCUGCGGAUGGAGCUGAGACCAGUCGAAGAUACCAGCUGGCUGCAACUGUUUAUUAAAAACACAGCACUGUGCAAACACGAAAGUGGACGUAUACGGUGUGACGCCUGCCCGGUGCCGGAAGGUUAAUUGAUGGGGUUAUCCGUAAGGAGAAGCUCUUGAUCGAAGCCCCGGUAAACGGCGGCCGUAACUAUAACGGUCCUAAGGUAGCGAAAUUCCUUGUCGGGUAAGUUCCGACCUGCACGAAUGGCGUAAUGAUGGCCAGGCUGUCUCCACCCGAGACUCAGUGAAAUUGAACUCGCUGUGAAGAUGCAGUGUACCCGCGGCAAGACGGAAAGACCCCGUGAACCUUUACUAUAGCUUGACACUGAACAUUGAGCCUUGAUGUGUAGGAUAGGUGGGAGGCUUUGAAGCGUGGACGCCAGUCUGCGUGGAGCCAACCUUGAAAUACCACCCUUUAAUGUUUGAUGUUCUAACGUUGGCCCCUGACCGGGGUUGCGGACAGUGUCUGGUGGGUAGUUUGACUGGGGCGGUCUCCUCCCAAAGCGUAACGGAGGAGCACGAAGGUUAGCUAAUCCUGGUCGGACAUCAGGAGGUUAGUGCAAUGGCAUAAGCUAGCUUGACUGCGAGCGUGACGGCGCGAGCAGGUGCGAAAGCAGGUCAUAGUGAUCCGGUGGUUCUGAAUGGAAGGGCCAUCGCUCAACGGAUAAAAGGUACUCCGGGGAUAACAGGCUGAUACCGCCCAAGAGUUCAUAUCGACGGCGGUGUUUGGCACCUCGAUGUCGGCUCAUCACAUCCUGGGGCUGAAGUAGGUCCCAAGGGUAUGGCUGUUCGCCAUUUAAAGUGGUACGCGAGCUGGGUUUAGAACGUCGUGAGACAGUUCGGUCCCUAUCUGCCGUGGGCGCUGGAGAAUUGAGGGGGGCUGCUCCUAGUACGAGAGGACCGGAGUGGACGCAUCACUGGUGUUCGGGUUGUCAUGCCAAUGGCACUGCCCGGUAGCUAAAUGCGGAAGAGAUAAGUGCUGAAAGCAUCUAAGCACGAAACUUGCCCCGAGAUGAGUUCUCCCUGAGACU
rnacentral:rRNA from 2 species